rnacentral:rRNA from 1 species
AUUGAACGCUGGCGGCAGGCCUAACACAUGCAAGUCGAACGAGUGGCGGACGGGUGAGUAAUGUCUGGGAAACUGCCUGAUGGAGGGGGAUAACUACUGGAACCGGUAGCUACUACCGCAUACCAUCGGAUUUGCCCAGCUGGGAUUAGCUAGUAGGUGGGGUAAAGGCUCACCUAGGCGACGAUCCCUCGCUGGUCUGAGAGGAUGACCAGCCAAACUGGAACUGAGACACGGUCCAGACUCCUACGGGAGGCAGCAGUAGGGAAUAUUGCACAAUUGUCUCAAGCCUGAUGCAGCCAUGCCGCGUGUAUGAAGAAGGCCUUCGGGUUUUAAAGUACUUUCAGCGGGGAGGCGUUACCCGCAGAAGAAGCACCGGCUAACUCCGUGCCAGCAGCCGCGGUAAUUC